rnacentral:rRNA from 1 species
GACGAACGCUGGCGGCGUGCUUAACACAUGCAAGUCGAACGGAAAGGCCCUGCUUUUGUGGGGUGCUCGAGUGGCGAACGGGUGAGUAACACGUGAGUAACCUGCCCUUGACUUUGGGAUAACUUCAGGAAACUGGGGCUAAUACCGGAUAGGAGCUCCUGCUGCAUGGUGGGGGUUGGAAAGUUUCGGCGGUUGGGGCUGGACUCGCGGCUUAUCAGCGUGUUGGUGGGGUAGUGGCUUACCAAGGCUUUGACGGGUAGCCGGCCUGAGAGGGUGACCGGCCACAUUGGGACUGAGAUACGGCGCAGACGCCUACGGGAGGCAGCAGUGGGGAAUAUUGCACAAUGGGCGGAAGCCGGAUGCAGCAACGCCGCGUGCGGGAUGACGGCCUUCGGGUUGUGAACCGCUUUCGCCUGUGACGAAGCGUGAGUGACGGUAAUGGGUAAAGAAGCACCGGCUAACUACGUG